CUUCUGUAUUGCACAGUUUAUUUGCUGAGUUUGAAUAGCAUUAAGUUGGAAUGAAAAUUGAGGAUUAUUCUUAUAUAGAUGUUUUAGGAUCUUAUUAAGCCCAUCAUGUGCAGGUAGGACAUGUUGGAUUUUAGAUCUAGUUGGCUCUCCAUUAUAGGCUAGCCCAAUCAAAAUCACCUAUAAAUUUAAAUAUUAGAGGAAAUAGUUGG
rnacentral:lncRNA from 1 species